rnacentral:misc_RNA from 1 species
AACGCAACUUGCGCCCUAGGGUAUUCCCUGGAGCAUGCCUGUUUGAGUGUCGCGAUGUCAUCAUUAUUUUAUUAUAAUGGAGUUGGGUGAAGCGGAAGCACGCCCGAAUAGCAUUAUGAGCAGUGAGCCCUGCGGCGUGAUAAUUAUCUUCGUCGCACCAACGCUGUCUAUUUCCAAUUGACCUCAGAUCAGGUAGGACUACCCGCCGAACUUAA